GAUGAACGCUGGCGGCGUGCCUAAUACAUGCAAGUCGAGCGAACAGACGAGGAGCUUGCUCCUCUGACGUUAGCGGCGGACGGGUGAGUAACACGUGGAUAACCUACCUAUAAGACUGGGAUAACUUCGGGAAACCGGAUCUAAUAUCGGAUAAUAUAUUGAACCGCAUGGUUCUAUAGAGAAAGACGGUUUUGCUGUCACUAAUAGAUGGAUCCGCGCCGCAUUAGCUAGUUGGUAAGGUAACGGCUUACCAAGGCAACGAUGCGUAGCCGACCUGAGAGGGUGAUCGGCCACACUGGAACUGAGACACGGUCCAGACUCCUACGGGAGGCAGCAGUAGGGAAUCUUCCGCAAUGGGCGAAAGCCUGACGGAGCAACGCCGCGUGAGUGAUGAAGGUCUUCGGAUCGUAAAACUCUGUUAUUAGGGAAGAACAAAUGUGUAAGUAACUAUGCACGUCUUGACGGUACCUAAUCAGAAAGCCACGGCUAACUACGUG
rnacentral:rRNA from 1 species